rnacentral:lncRNA from 1 species
AGGUAAGCAAAGAGGUAAGAGGUAGAGAGAGUGACAGAGAAAGUAUUGGGGAUAGAGAGAGAGAAGAGAGGGAAUAGAGAUAAGAUAGAGAUAGAGGAUUGGGGUUAGAAGUAGAGAAGAGAAGAGGAGAAUUGGGAGGAGAAGUAGUAGAGAAGAAGAAGGGUUUGGAGAAGAACUUUUGCGGAAGAAAAUAGACUAGUUUAUUU